GCCUGCUGCGGCACCGGUGUGGCUGGUUCUGCUCGCUGUAGUAACGGAUCUGUGUGUCCUGUAUGCUCUCCCUCCCGGUACCACCUCGUGUCUGCGGCAUCCGCCCCUAUCCCCUGUGCCGGCAGCAUCCCAUCCUGUUGCCUGUAUCUGUUUAGCAUCAGCCUGACUAUGAUGAGACUAAUCACAGACCUGUUCUGAGAAACGUGAUGAUAGCUGAUGUCUCUGAGCCGCCCUCUGCUUCCUGUAACCCCUCCAUUAUACCAGGGUCACAGUGUCUAUCUUACUGUUCUACAGGUUUCCUAGGUGUGAAUCAUGUCUGACCAAGCUGGACUUUGUUAUGGGAGUUCCAAAGACUAUGGCUAUCUGGAUAGAAUGUGGGUGCACCGGGGUGAAGUCUGAGGAGGUGUUCGGCUAAGACCAUGGUUCAAUUGAGAUGUGGACACUACCAGGUGACUGCAUGAUGUGAACGCCACUACAUCCAGGCUGUUGGUAGAUGGGAGUUAUACCAUUAAAUGAAAGUGGCUUUAUCAGAUGUACACAGAGCAUAAAGUGUUGGGUCAUGUUACAAGAGGACUAGGAUUGUAAACUUGGAGGUGCCGGGUGAACACAGCGCCACACCUAAAUCGUGGAUUUCAGUAUGUGGACUUCAGACUGGCUAACUUCUGAUGCAGUGUUCGAACUCCACCACCAGAGCCUGUUGGAAACCAGAUUCUGAAUGUCCAAUGGAGAUGUGGACACUACCAGGUGAUUCUGAUGUAACUGCACCACUUCAUCCGGAUAUUGGUGGCUGGGAGUAGGGAUCUUUAAAGAACCACUUGCUUUAUCAUAUCUACAUGGAGUGUAAAAGAUUCAAGAAGCGCAGCUGAAAUGGAUUGUAAAAUUAGCUUGCAUGAAUGAUCAAAGUGCAAGAUAUACAGACUCCAUGGAGAUGUUUUUGCUUGCAACUGCCCAUCAUACUCAGAAUAUGGACCAGACCAAGACUACCAGACCUGGUCAUGACUGAAUCACCACACCAAGUUUUUAACUUGGUUGAAGAUUGGUUCUAAAAAUUCUUUCCACAUGUGAUGGAACAUGAAAUGUGGAUUAACACAAUAAAAACUACUAUUGUGUA